ACCUUGUUGCUAGGGACCGGGCGGUUUGCGGCAACCGUGGGCACUGCUGAAUUUGAAUUGAGGGGCGAGGGAAAAGUUUUCCUCAGGUGUGGUGGGGUGAGGGAGGCGGAUGCCGGGAAACCGUAGGGACGUGGUCAGAAAGGCGACGGGCUGUCGGAGUUGGAAAGGUAAAGUUGGAGGCAGGGCUACCAUCAGUCCCACGCCUCGCGUGUCCGCCCCCCGCACCCCGGGGCCAAGGAAAGGGAUCGCGGUCUGGACUCUCCGGGGAGUUCCCUUGAUGAGGGGAAGGGCAGGUUUGGGGACGGCGAGGACACGCGGCGACCGGAGAGAGGCUACCUGACCCGCGCAGCCCGGACUCCCUUCCCUUCCCUUCCAGGGACGCCUGGUUUCCCCCCAAGCGAACCGGGAUGGGAAGUGACUUCAAUGAGAUUGAACUUCAGCUGGAUUGAAAGAGAGGCUAGAAGUUCCGCUUGCCAGCAGCCUCGUUAGUAGAGCGGAAUGAGUAAUACCCACACGGUGCUUGUCUCACUUCCCCAUCCGCACCCGGCCCUCACCUGCU
rnacentral:antisense_RNA from 1 species